AAUUCUGAAUUUACUGGGUGGGUGUAAAUACAAAAUUUACAUUGUCAUGUUGUAAUUUUUGUAUUUACACCCAUCCAGUAAAUUCAAAU
rnacentral:pre_miRNA from 10 species